UAACUUUCAGCAACGGAUCUCUUGGCUCUCGCAUCGAUGAAGAACGCAGCGAAAUGCGAUAAGUAAUGUGAAUUGCAGAAUUCAGUGAAUCAUCGAAUCUUUGAACGCACCUUGCGCUCCUUGGUAUUCCGAGGAGCAUGCCUGUUUGAGUGUCAUUA
rnacentral:rRNA from 2 species